rnacentral:rRNA from 1 species
GGGCUCACACAAGCGGUGGAGCAUGUGGUUCAAUUCGAAGCAACGCGAAGAACCUUACCUGGCCUUGACUUGCACGGAUUAGCUCUGUGAAAGCAGAGUAACAGCUCUUCGGAGUCGGAACGUGCGCAGGUGUUGCAUGGCUGUCGUCAGCUCGUGUCGUGAGAUGUUGGGUUAAGUCCCGUAACGAGCGCAACCCCUAUUCUUAGUUGCCAGCGGGUAAUCCGGGGACUCUAGGGAGACCGCCGGUGUUAAACCGGGAGGAAGGUGGGGACGACGUCAAGUCAUCAUGGCCUUUAUGCCCAGGGCUGCACACGUGCUACAAUGGGACGUACAAAGGGAAGCGAACCCCGCGAGGGCAAGCA